AAUUGACCUCGGAUCAGAUAGGGAUACCCGCUGAACU
rnacentral:rRNA from 1 species